UGCAGUCGAACGAUGAAGCCUUUCGGGGUGGAUUAGUGGCGAACGGGUGAGUAACACGUGGGCAAUCUGCCCUUCACUCUGGGACAAGCCCUGGAAACGGGGUCUAAUACCGGAUAAUACUUCUGCCUGCAUGGGUGGGGGUUGAAAGCUCCGGCGGUGAAGGAUGAGCCCGCGGCCUAUCAGCUUGUUGGUGAGGUAGUGGCUCACCAAGGCGACGACGGGUAGCCGGCCUGAGAGGGCGACCGGCCACACUGGGACUGAGACACGGCCCAGACUCCUACGGGAGGCAGCAGUGGGGAAUAUUGCACAAUGGGCGGAAGCCUGAUGCAGCGACGCCGCGUGAGGGAUGACGGCCUUCGGGUUGUAAACCUCUUUCAGCAGGGAAGAAGCGCAAGUGACGGUACCUGCAGAAGAAGCGCCGGCUAACUACGUGCCAGCAGCCGCGGUAAUACGUAGGGCGCAAGCGUUGUCCGGAAUUAUUGGGCGUAAAGAGCUCGUAGGCGGCUUGUCGCGUCGGUUGUGAAAGCCCGGGGCUUAACCCCGGGUCUGCAGUCGAUACGGGCAGGCUGGAGUGUGGUAGGGGAGAUCGGAAUUCCUGGUGUAGCGGUGAAAUGCGCAGAUAUCAGGAGGAACACCGGUGGCGAAGGCGGAUCUCUGGGCCAUUACUGACGCUGAGGAGCGAAAGCGUGGGGAGCGAACAGGAUUAGAUA
rnacentral:rRNA from 1 species